rnacentral:rRNA from 1 species
UACGUAGGGGGCGAGCGUUGUCCGGAGUUACUGGGCGUAAAGCGCUUGUAGGCGGUCCACCAAGUUUGGGGUGACAGUUGCCGACUUAAUCGGCAAAGUGCCUCAAAGACUGGCGGACUUGAGGGCCACAGAGGGACAUGGAACUCCAGGUGUAGUGGUGAAAUGCGUAGAUAUCGUCAGGAACGCCAAUGGUGAAGACAGGUGACUGGGCUAGAUCUGACACUGAGGCACGAAAGCGUGGGGAGCGAACGGG